AGGUUCUUUGAUGGACCUCACCCUCGUCUGACCACCAAUAUCGACUGACCUGAAACAAUAAUAAAUAAAUCAUUAGUAUGAUCCAAAUAAAAGAAUCAAAUUUGAUUAUAUAUAAAGUAUAAUAAUUAAUAUCACUGGGACUAGCCUCAUUGGGAUCCGCUUCACUGGGAUCCGAUUCAGUCGUAGUUGGCUCACUAGGAUCGGCCAGUGCAAGACCCUCUAACACUAGAGCCGGUGAGGCCAUGGA
rnacentral:lncRNA from 1 species